rnacentral:rRNA from 1 species
AUGGAGAGGGCGAAGCGGAUCAAGUGUCCGGCUCCGCUGCCUGAAGAACCAGUCAUCCCGCGUUUAGCGAAGAUGCUGGUGUCGGCGCCCUAUAAGGCGCCGGAGAAGAAGGCCAAGGGCAGGGCCAAGGUGGUCCGGAGUGGGCCCCGCCACAAGGGCGCUUUGGACGCGACUUCUGAAGACAAGACCCGCUCCUCUGUCGCUGAAGACGACGAUGAUGAGGAGGAGCAGGAGAGCGAUUCUCCCCCUGAUGGGGGGAGGAAGAAGAGGGCGGCCUCCGCCAUUCUGGAGGCGGAGGCGCCCAAGAAGGGGAAAGGCCAACUCGUGGGCAGCUCCGCAUGGGACGUCGACAACAGUCCGGAGCGACGCCCCCGCACUAAGCCUCGGGCUGCAUCUCCGGCCCACGACAGCUCCCAGCGAUCCUCGUCACGAGAUUCGUUGGAUUCAAGGGCAAUGGCUAGCGAGUCACCACCGACCGCUUACUCCCCCAAGGCUAAGGGCGACACAGAGCUGCUGUCCCGAAGGACUUUCCCAUCCCGGGGAGGCUCAGGAGGCGCCAGAAGGUGA